ACGGCAAGGAGACUCUCUUUAAACAGAAUGCUACUGUAUUUCACAAGAAGACACGUUGUUGUGACAUGUGGAAGCAACCUCUAGAAUUUUCUUUACAAGGACUAUCCAUUUGAAUCCUGCAUUUUAUGAGCCAAUCCGGUGGAAAAGACCAUGUGACUGCUGGGCACUGGAUGAUCAGUCUUGAGAGCCAUAUUGUAUGUGAGGGCAUUCAACCAACCUUUGUGACCGAGCUUGCUGCACUGUUUUCAAUGUACUACACCUACAAUAUCAAGAAGAGGCUGCAUGUACACUUGAAUUCAUCCAGAGGCCCUUUCUUGAUAUCAACCCUGAAAGAGGGACCAAGGCCAGCUGUGGCAAGAUCGUCUCCAAGAGGACAGGAAAUACUGUUCAAAAGAAGUUGGUCACUGUCAACCCCCGUGUUUCAACUCUGC